GACGUCAGGGAGCCGCGCGACAACGUGGGCCGCUCUAGUCUCCAGGCGGCGGUGCUCAGUGGUCGGUUACUGAGGGGCCUUGUGGCAACAAGGUGACAUAGGACAAACAGCACUCAGGUGAGCACCUGGAAAAGGCUGUUGAAGCACACAGGCACUAGAACUACUUUAUGAGCAUAAUUCCUUGGACCAUAAUCGUCACCUGAGGAAGCCGCGUGAGACACCAGUCUUAGGAUUCCAAAGUGAAGAGGAACGUGCCCUCCUCGAUGAACGCCUGUGGAAGCCUUUGAGCAGCCCUUUCAUGGCGGAAGAGAGGGCAACUCUGAGGUGAUGGAGCAGCGGCUAGGCAGAGGGCUGCUGAGGAAGCAGAGGGAGGAUCGCUUCAGCUCUCGGCAGGCUGGAGCCUCAGAGCAAACCUCAAGUAACUUUCUGUGGAUGCUGUGAGGGAAGGUGCACAGUUAUCUGGUGUUUUGACCUCCUCCUGGCUGAAGAUGAAGGCCCAAAACAGGAUCUUUCCCAGAAGCUGUGUUGCUUUGGCCAGGAAGGUGGCCGGUUGUCUGGAGCCGAAGAUGGCGCCACCUCAGAAGCUCUGUGGCUCUCGCCUGUACCAGAAACGGCUGGCCUCUGUAUUCCACACCGUCACCCGUGCAGGCUACCCUCCGCGGAGUCCCGGAGCCAAGGAGGCUCCCGCCGGGGCCUGAGGCACAAACCUCUAAAAUAAACCUUUAAAAAAAAUAAAAUCAAAGAGAUGGAGUCUCAGGAUCUAAGCUAGUUUUGAUGUCACUAUGGAUUCCAGGUUGGUCUCAAAUUUGUGACCAUUCUGGGUCAGUUUGCUGCCUUCAGGGAUUCCAUCUGCAUGCCAUUGCACCCCAUAUGCAUCCAGAAAUCAGAAGUGUCAUGCUAAUUGUUUCUUCAACGUUUUGAUUGAGAUUGACAUGGAAUUUAUGUUUCAGAUGAAAGAUAAUUGACAUGCUAAGUGUCUUCAAUUCAUUGAUAUCUUUGUUUCAUUUUUGAUUUUCUCUCAAAAUAUAUUGAUUUUAUUUA
rnacentral:lncRNA from 1 species